rnacentral:misc_RNA from 1 species
GGACACACUGUCAGGCGCUCAAGUUCUUGCGGGAUCUUCCUUCCUGCAGUGUGAUACCGUGUUUAAACCGGGUUCGCUGUUUGCUUGCUCACGACUCUUUGAGAAGCUAAUUACGAGCUCCCAGAGCUGCGUGAUUACAUACUCGAUUUUGUUUUUCGGGGUAUUUCUAGCUCUCUCUCUCUCUCUCGUUCACACUUUAGCCGUCUCUCGUGGCGUCGAUCCCCGUUUCGCGUGUCUCUGUCGCCUCUCUUCCGUUGUUGUUGUUGUUUUUUUUUUCACUCUCCUUCUACAUCUCUCCUUCUCUUUUACUCCUCAUAAGCCCGACAGUUUGCGCGCUUCGUCCGAUAUAUCUUUUGGGUUCUGCUUUUUCCUCCUCAACUGUAGCUCUCCUCUUCCCAUCUUAGCACCGCGCAUCCAGCCUGUGUUGUUCGGCACCGUCAUCCCCACCACUGCCUCUCAGAUUCGCUGCUCAGGCGAUCUCAGUAGCGUAACAAGGCACACAUACCCAUACACGCACACGCAGCACUCCCCUCCACCUCCACACCCAUCUCCCCUUCCGAACUUUCAGCCCUCUGAAUCUACUAAGAAUCCACCCUUGAACAAACAAAAAACUGUGUGAAACGCGCCCGCAGUGUGCCGAGCCAUGUUUCCCUCUUGCGCGCGUCGGUUGUGGGCAGCCGGCACGGUGAGCCGCCUCGGCACCACGAGCGCGGCCGACAUAUCGCCACCUCUGAGGGCCACCAGCGCCGCGGCGUACAUGAGAAAGGUAAAUCGCAGGAGCACGACUAGCGGCUUUGCCUGUGGGCUUGCUGCGCCGGUGGGACUGCAUCAGCCGCGGCGCUGGUACUUCAUGUCCACGGCGGCACCGCGGGCGGCGGAGGACAUGCGCAUCUACAAGUCGAAGCUGCCGUCGGUGAUGGACAAGGUGAACCGGGAGACGACGUUGUACGGGUAUCUGAUGAAGCGCAUGGCGGCGGCGGACCCGAAGAAAAUCGCUGCGGUGCAGGCGGAGACGGGCAAGACACUCACGUACCCGGAGCUGAUGAAGGCGACGGAGCACGCGGCGAAAGCACUGCACCAGCAUGGCGUGCGGAAGGGCGACGUUGUGUGCCUGUGCAUGCUGAACACGAUCGUGUACGGCCCGCUGGUGUACGGCACGCUGCGCCUCGGCGCGAUCGCGUCGACGGUGAACGCCGUGGCAACGGCGUCGACGCUGGCGUACCACUUCAAGGCGAACGGUGCGAAGGUGGUGCUGGGCAUGCACUUCUUCCAGAAGCAGCUCGCGGAGGCCGUGGCGCUGGUAGAGCAGGAGACCGGGCGGAAGGUCCAGGUGCUGUACCCGGAGGAGUUCUUCAAGACAGACGCUCCCGAGAUCCCUGCGGACUACGACGGGCUGAAGGGGGCCACGCCGAACGACACCGUGGCCAUCCUCUUCUCGAGCGGCACGACCGGCAUGCCGAAGGGUGUGCAGCUGACGAACCGUGCGCUCAUUGCGUGCUCGGAGCAGUCCGCCAGCGCGUUCGGCGUUGGCUCGCAGGACACCGCCGUGACCGUUCUUCCGCUGUUUCACGUCUUCGGGUUCACGGCGUGCAUGAACUGCAUGUUCGCCUACGCCGCGACGCAGGUGGUGAUGUCCAAGUACUCGGUCGAGGACUACGUGCGCGCGAUUGAGAAGUACAAGGCGACGGUCAACCUCGUCGCCCCGCCGAUCCUCAUCUCGCUGGUGAAGAACGCGGACAAGGUGAAGCGGCACGACCUGUCGUCGCUCAAGCGCUUCUGCUCCUCGUCGGCGCCGCUUGGAGCGGACGUGGUGGACACGGUGGAGCAGCUGAUCCCUGGCUGCGCUGUCACCCAGGGCUACGGCAUGACGGAGAUGGCGCCGACGGUGACGGCACCGCUGUGGGGCCAACGGUGCACGCCAGGCUGCUGCGGGAGCCUGAUACCCGACACGGAGCUACGCAUCGUGAAGGUGGACGACAGCCAGCAGAGCGGCGCGGAUAAGUCUUGCGGCAUCGACGCAGAGCCCGGCGCGGAGGGUGAGGUGUGGGUGCGUGGUCCGCAGAUGAUGAAGGGCUAUUUGCGCGAUGAGGACACGGCCAUGUGCAUGCAGGACGGCUGGUACCGCACUGGCGACAUCGGCAGGAUGCUGGAGACUGACGAGCUGAUGAUCACGGACCGGCUGAAGGAGCUGAUCAAGUACAAGGGCUUUCAGGUGUCGCCGGCUUCCCUGGAGGCGCUCUUGCUGACGCACCCGUGGGUGAAGGACUGCGUGGUGAUUGGCGUGCCGGACCCGCGCGACGUGAGCUUCGAGAACCCGCGUGCGCUCGUCGUGCUGCAGCCCUCUGUGUCCCCAGAGGACGCCGUCCGUGCGUCGGACGAGCUGUACCGCUUCGUGAUGAUAAGCAUGCCCCCGCACAAGCGGCUGCACGGCGGUGUGCGCGUCGUGGACGAGAUUCCUCGCAACGCCGCUGGCAAGGUGAUGCGGCGUCAGGUGCGCCAGGAUGAGGUGGCGCUGCUGAAGGGGCAGAACAGCGAUAGCGGUGCACCAGAGACUACCAAGGAAGGUACCGCUACUACUACCACUGCAGCUGCGUAGUUUGGGAGAUGAUUCAAGGCGAAUAUGCAACAGCCUGUGUGGGUGUGGGUGUCCAAGCCCUCGUGCUCUUUGCGCUACCUGCAUUUUACUCUGCCUCAACGCGAAAGCAGCUUGCCCCUCCCCCUCCUCCGAGUCCCAUCUGCCAGUGCGUUUUCGCGAUGUCAGUGCGUGUGUUUCUCUUUCGUUUUUGUGGUUGCAUUUUGUUGUUGUUUUACGUCUGUGUGCUGUUUGGGGUUGGAACACGUCCCCGCCAUCCGCAGGCUCACUCGCGCUGCUGUUUGCUUUCUUCUCUGCAUCUGGUGGUGUACUUGUUACUUCCGUCUCGCGUAACCGGCACCACCACCACCUUGUCGGGCGGCUCACAUACGUGCUGGUACUGCUGCUUGAGACACCACCCUCUUCCCCACUGCCAACGCCGGCCUUUGUUCGUUCUCUUUUUUUCUGCGCUCUCUUUUCGCCUGCCUUAUACCUCAAUAAUCGAGCUGCUGAUGGUGCGUCGUCCUCUUGUUGUUUGUUCGCUUUUUUUUUCGUAGAGCGCCUGCUGUCCUGUUUUUGUCCCCUGUAGGUAUGUGCAUGUGUGUGUGUCUCAAGUGCUGGAGUGGAUUGCACGGCACUUUCCGUUUUCUCUCCAUCUCUCUGAUGGUGCUAGUUGAUUAAAAAAAAAAGAAGGAGGUGUCUGUGUAUUCGGAUCCCCUCUCUCUGGACCUGAGGCUGUCUGCAUACCGGUAUCAUCGCUUUGCCUUUUCUCCCCCCACCUCCUCCUCCUCCGUCCAGCUCGCUCUCUUUCUCUCUCCAGCGUGGCGUUGCGUCGCCUGUCUUGCUGCUUAUACGCUCGUCCAAAACGAAACAUAUUUUGUUGUUGUUUCCGCCCUCCCCCAUCUUUUCGUUCCCUUUUCAAGUGCCCUUCCCCCUCCCCCCCCCUUUUUUUUUCUUUUUCUCGGCUUCCUGGUUGACGCUUUCUCCCACUUCGCCCCCUCUCCUCAAGACAAUGUGCUUGUGUGCAUGUGUAUGCACAUGUGUGUGUGUGGAGCUAUUUCGAGUGGCGUAAGGGUCUUGCUUCUCUUUUUCACUGCCCUCUGCCACCCCCACCCCUAGCCCCCGUGGGUACUAAUGGGCCCUUAAAGCGUUCGACCAGCUUUUUGCAGUCCCCCUCUCCACCGAGGUGCCUUUCUCUUUGGCGUAUUCCAUCUCACUUUCGCGUUUUAGUUGUUGUUUUCUCGCUUUCUCCUGAUUUGAGUCGCGGCGUUGACAACGAAUGUACCUGGUGUUGUAUGCGUCUUCAUGUCUGUGCCCUCCUGCAACCAAAGGGUGGUUGCGACAGCGACUUCAAUGCUGUAUGAUGAAAUGAACGAAAGGGAUGAGAAAAUGAAAAUGGCAAAAAGCGAAAGCCGUGUCGCGUCGCAACCAACAAAAAAACGUCUGAUGAGCUGUCUCCGUUGACGAGCAGCUCUCUUCCUUUGGGUGCUGCAUCUCUCUCCCCUCCUCCUCCCCCCCCCUAAGUGAGCGGGUAUGCACGCAGUGGCUGUGGUGAUCGCACAUCCCACGCGCUUUUCGAGGCUCGCACGGCGAGCGUGUCGGUCGACAGUAUGAGGCAAGG